rnacentral:miRNA from 1 species
GGGUUUUCACGGUGACUUCAGU